rnacentral:rRNA from 1 species
CGUGAUGGCGACCGGCGCACGGGUGAGUAGCACGUAUCCAACCUGCCUCAUACUCGGGGAUAGCCUUUCGAAAGAAAGAUUAAUAUCCGAUAGCAUAUAUUUCCCGCAUGGGUUUUAUAUUAAAGAAAUUCGGUAUGAGAUGGGGAUGCGUUCCAUUAGUUUGUUGGGGGGGUAACGGCCCACCAAGACUACGAUGGAUAGGGGUUCUGAGAGGAAGGUCCCCCACAUUGGAACUGAGACACGGUCCAA